UGGCUCGUAGCUCAGUGGUAGAGCACUACCUUGACACGGUAGGGGUCGGUGGUUCGAUCCCACUCGAGCCAACCA
rnacentral:tRNA from 1 species